GGAAUGGAUAAGCGCUGAAAGCAUCUAAGCGCGAAGCCAACUUCAAGAUAAGAUUUCCCACCGCAAGGGUAAGACCCCAGAAAGACUAUCUGGUUGAUAGGUCGAAGGUGUAAGUGCAGCAAUGUAUUUAGCUUAUCGAUACUAAUAGGUCGAGGACUUGACCAA
rnacentral:rRNA from 1 species